AAAGGAGACUUCAGAUAUGGUAUUAGGGGACCACUAAGGUCUAUAUAAAAGAGACUUCAGAUAUGCACCAUGUCAUGGGACCUUUUUAGGUUUUGUGAAACAAAUGAAUAUAUAGGGUUGAUGUACAGUAUUUGUUUUUGUAAGAAGGAUUUUGUCCUAUUCAACUCUCUAAUAUCAGCUGUAUGGCUGAAUCUUUCACUUGUAAUGAUGAUAAUUAAUAUGAAUGUGAAUAAUAUUGAAUCCAAGCCAUAGCAAAAUGACAACACUUCUAUUUUAAAUGUAUAUGGGUGACAAAACCUCAGCGUAGUUCAUCAGUUUAAUGCCUGCAGAGGUUGCUGCUGCAGCGCCUGUGACCCCGUGUCAGGGGCCAAAGACAUGGAUCAAUAUGUUUUUUGCUGAUUUAAGUGAUUAAUUGAGCUGUGCUAAGAAGAAACACAUCACACACACAUGAAUCCCUUCUCUCCAUGAUGACAGAGCCAGUAUGUUGGCCUGGAAGUCAUUAACUUUCCCGAACACUUUGAAGACAUGCAAAAUAUUUAUUUUAAUUUUAGCUAAUGUUGAUGUUCCACUUUUCUAUACAAAUUUAUGAGUAUAGUGUUCCGAGCUGACAAAGGUUUGGCAGUUUGAGUAUUGUUCACACUUGUGAUGCUUUGUUUCCAAAGGUUUGUCUUUAUCUGUCAGUUAUGAAAUCCCCGUUCACUGUACAGAACACUGAUUGUUCACCAAAUUCAAACUUUUUUUUCAGCAAGCUCAACUUUUGAAUAAAUCUUUUUUCAAUGAAAGUUU